UGCGCUCCUCCACUGUGUGGUUUGCCUUAU
rnacentral:piRNA from 1 species